GCCCUAUAGGUCAUGGGCCUAGCUAGGUUCAGGUAAGGUGUUCGGUUGAAUUACUUUAUCGGAAAAAUAUACAGUGCUAAUAGUUUAAAAACGAUUCGUUUUGUUUUUUUAUUGUUAAAUUCUCUUUGCAUAUGAAAGAUUCAAUACUUUACUGGCAAAAGAAGUCCAAAAAUUACUUUACGUCCUAGGUGUGUUGUCAAUGUCAUCAUUUGUCAUGUAUAGAAAACGCCUUUCUUUUUUUAUUUUAUUAAUUACUCUAUAAUUGCUGUUUUUUGCCCUUUCUAAGAUUUAGAUUGAUAUUGUGUCCCUAUAUGUUUUGUUUUCUUUACUUUUUAAUUUUUUUUUCUUUUUUAUGCAGAUUUGAUGGAAUGGACUUCUUGAAAAGAUGGACAGGGAAGAAAAUAAUGUUUGUUGGUGAUUCAUUGAGUUUAAACAUGUGGGAAUCUUUGGCUUGUAUGUUACAUGCAUCUGUGCCAAGUGCUACUACAUCUUUUACCAGAAAAGAAGCAGUUUCUUCUGUGACCUUUCAGGUGGGAUCGACUUCUGUUUCUCGUGGCUGAUAGUCGCUCCGAGAGUUGCUUAGAGUCUAGAGGGUAAGCACGAGACGUCCGCCGCCUUGAAGAUUCUUCUUUAUUUAUGUCUUAUUUUCUAUUCCGAGACAUAUUUACACCUGAUGUAUUAUUGAUAUUCCAGACUUGUAUAUUCUAGUUAGAUGCUCUUGUAUGGAUUAGAUCAUAUCAGACUCUGGGUGUAUUUUCCUUACUUCCGCAUAAUUUCUAUAUUAUUACCGUCAGACUUACGUGCUUUCA